AGGUGCGAUCAUACCAACACUAAUGCACCGAAACCAAUCAAAACUCCGUAGUCAAGCGUGCUCGAGCGAGAGUAGUACUGAAAUGGGUGAACUCUUGGGAAGUCCUCGUGUUGCACCCC
rnacentral:rRNA from 1 species